GACGAACGCUGGCGGCGUGCUUAACACAUGCAAGUCGAACGGUGAAAGCGGAGCUUGCUCCGCUGGAUCAGUGGCGAACGGGUGAGUAACACGUGGGCAACCUGCCCCUCACUUCGGGAUAACUCCAGGAAACCGGGGCUAAUACCGGAUAUGACCUCCUUGGGCAUCCUUGGAGGUGGAAAGUUUUUCGGUGAGGGAUGGGCCCGCGGCCUAUCAGCUUGUUGGUGAGGUAGUGGCUCACCAAGGCGACGACGGGUAGCCGGCCUGAGAGGGCGACCGGCCACACUGGGACUGAGACACGGCCCAGACUCCUACGGGAGGCAGCAGUGGGGAAUAUUGCGCAAUGGGCGAAAGCCUGACGCAGCAACGCCGCGUGCGGGAUGACGGCCUUCGGGUUGUAAACCGCUUUCAGCAGGGAAGAAGCCGCAAGGUGACGGUACCUGCAGAAGAAGCACCAGCUAACUACGUGCCAGCAGCCGCCGUAA
rnacentral:rRNA from 1 species